rnacentral:rRNA from 1 species
CGUAAAGCACUGUCGCGAGGGAAGAUACCCUUCAUCUUAAUAAGGUGAGGAUAAGACGGUACCUCGAGAGGAAGCACCGGCUAACUCUGUGC